rnacentral:rRNA from 1 species
CGGCAACAGCUCAAAUUUGAAAUCUGGCCUCUUCGGGGCCCGAGUUGUAAUUUGGAGAGGAUGUUUCGGGCACGGUCCGGGCUUAAAUUUCUUGGAACAGAAUGUCACGGAGGGUGAGAAUCCCGUCUGGAGCUCGGACACGACCUAUGUGAAACUCCUUCGACGAGUCGAGUUGUUUGGGAAUGCAGCUCUAAAUGGGUGGUAAAUUUCAUCUAAAGCUAAAUAUUGGCCAGAGACCGAUAGCGCACAAGUAGAGUGAUCGAAAGAUGAAAAGCACUUUGAAAAGAGAGUUAAACAGUACGUGAAAUUGUUGAAAGGGAAGCGCUGGCAACCAGACUUGCGCGUCGGGGUUCCCCCUUGCUUCUGCUUGGGUUACUCCCCGGCGUUCAGGCCAACAUCGGUUUCGGGGGUCGGUUAAAGGCCUUGGGAAUGUACCUACCCUCCGGGGUAGACUUAUAGCCCAGGGUGUCAUGCGACCUCCCGGGACCGAGGAACGCGCUUCGGCUCGGAUGUUGGCGUAAUGGUUGUCAGCGACCCGUCUUGAAACACGGACCAAGGAGUCUAACAUCUAUGCGAGUGUUAGCGGUGUCAAACCCUUACGCGGAAUGAAAGUGAACGGAGGUAGGAAGCCUUAAGGCUGCACUAUCGACCGAUCCUGAAGUUUACGGAUGGAUUUGAGUAAGAGCAUAGCUGUUGGGACCCGAAAGAUGGUGAACUAUGCCUGAAUAGGGUGAAGCCAGAGGAAACUCUGGUGGAGGCUCGCA